rnacentral:lncRNA from 1 species
GCUGGAGUUUCCUGUCUGAGCUGCUGUGUGACCUCAGACAGGCCUGCGCUUGUCCCUCCGACCUGGGAAAGGGCUUGAGGGGGCACUGUGGUUUCUGUAGACCUGAGCCCCAGGGUCAUAAUCGGUGUCUGGCCCUGCCUGCCUCGUGGUCCCAGCGGGAGCAGCCCUGUUUCUGCUCACCGCGUUCCUCUGGGACCCCAAGCCAUACGAGUCAAAAGGAGAACUGAGCAGAUCAGAGGAUGGGGCUGGGGUGGGAUUCCUGCCUCUGCCCAGCCUCUAGCGCCCUGUGACUGUUCUGGACCUCGGUUCUCGCUCUGUGCAAUGGGCCAGCAGCCGAGCUCUGCCCCCUCCCCCAGAGUCCCAGUGAGCCUGUGGUCCCCCUCCCUGCCCAGAGGAUGGGCUGACAAGGAAGGAUUUGCCAAAACGAAGUCCCCUUCUGUCUGGAGCUUCAGGGAGGGCCUGGGGGUUCUGCGGAAGUCGCAUCCAGGGGGAAGGUUGAGUUGCUGGUACCCAUCUGGGCCAGGAGACAGCCAGAGCCCUGGCGGUCAUACAGGUGAAAACAGAUCAACCUGGCCGCACGCCUGGGCUGGGGCGCCAGGGGCCAGUCCCCCGCAACCACUGAGCCUCUCAUUCCCUCCGCUGGUCAACCUGCAGGCCUGAGUCGGGGUGAUGCUGAAGAUGCUGACCUUAUUCCAAGGACUCCCAGGCCAGCAGCCUGUGUCCAGGGCCCCUGACUUCCCCAGAAGUGCCCAGAAGUUGCCCUCUACCUCAGAGGCAGAGUCUGAGGCCUCCAUGUCGGAGGCCUCCUCCGAGGACCUAGUGCCAUCCCUGGAGGUUGAGAUGGCCGCGGACAGGGAUGAAGAAGAGGCCGGCAAGAAGAAGAAGAAGUCGAAAGGCCUGGCCACCAUGUUCAGCGUCUUCACCAAAGGGAGGAAGAAGAAAGGUCAGCCCAGCUUAGCAGAGACUGAGGGUGAGCCUGAGUCCAGUCCGCGGCCGCCUGCCCAGCUGCCCACAGUGGAGGAGCUCAAGGCCGACCUGGAGCGCGGGCGGCUGGAGGCGGCGGGGCCGCUGCUGGCGCUGGAGCUGGAGCUGCAGGAGGCCGCGGCGGCGGGCCUCGCGAGCGAGGAGGAGCUGGUGCGGCGCCAGAGCAAGGUGGAGGCGCUGUAUGCGCUGCUGCGCGACCAGGUGCUAGGGCUGCUGCGCCGGCCGCUGGAAGCGGCGCCCGAGCGGCUGCGCCAGGCGCUGGCCGUGCUGGCCGAGCAGGAGCGCCAGGACCGCGCGGCGGCGGCGGCGGCGGGGCCCCCGGGGAGCCCGGGGCUGGCGGCCACGCGGCCCCGAGGCUGGCUGCAGCUGUGGCGGGACGGCGUGGCGCAGGCGGCCGCGGAGCGCCUGAGCCGGCGGCCGGCCGCGGACGCCGAGGGCCGCACGGAGGCCGAGCGCGCCUUCCUGCACAUGGGCCGCACCAUGAAGGAGGACCUGGAGGCCGUGGUGGAGCGCCUCAAGCCGCUCUCCCCCGCCGACUUCAGCGUGGUGGCCGCCUACGCCGAGAGCUACCACGCGGAAUUCGCGGCCCAGCUGGCGGCCCUGACGCAGUUCGAGCUGUGCCCGCGAGACACCUCCAUGCUGCUGCUCUGGGUGCAGAACCUCUACCCCAACGACAUCCUCAACAGCCCCAAGCUGUCGCCCGAGCUGCAGGGAGUCAGACUGGGAACCCUCCUGCCUCAGACCCAGAUCCGGCAGCUAGAGGCCACGUUCCUCUCCAACGAGGUGGCCAGCAUAAGGGAGCUGACAGCCCGAGCUCUGGAGCUGGAGUCGGAGCGCUGGACCAAGGAUGAGGCCCCACAGAGGCUGGACGACCGCUGCCACAGUGAGCUGGCCAUCGACAUCAUCCAGAUCAUUUCCCAGGGCCAGGACAAGGCCGAGAGCAUCACUCUGGACCUGGGCACGCAGAUAAAGCCCUUGCUGUUGGAAGAGCUGGCCAGGUUCCUCAGGAGCUACCAGCGCGCCUUUGAUGACUUUCUGGAGCGAUGCAGACAGCUGCGAAAUUACAGGGCCAAUGUCAUCGCUAACAUCAACAACUGCCUCCCUUUCCGAGUGUCUGUGGAGCAGAGGUGGCAGACAAGGCCAGACCUCCAGAACUCCCUGCUGAGGCCCCUGAAUGAGCUAAAAAGCCAUGGCUUUGAUACUCUGCUCCAGAGCCUGUUUGGGGACCUGAAGCCGCUGUUCAAGAGGUUCACGCAGACCCGCUGGGAUGCCCCCCAGCAGACCCUGGAGGAAAUCAUCUCCACCGUGGCCGAGAGGAUGCCUGAGUUCUCAGAGCUGCAGGACUGCUUCCGAGAGGUGAGGGGGUGCUGGGCUGCUGGUGGGGGGACACGCAGGCAGGCGUGUGUGUGGGCACACCCGGAUGCGCUUUUUCGCUCUGGCAUCCGCCCCUCCCUGGACCCUGGCCUUCAGGGAGGUGGUGGGUUCCCAUGGCCCUGCCCGCUCGCCCACCCAGGAGCUGCUGGAGGCGGUCCACCUGCACCUGGUGAAGGAGUACAUCACCCACCUCUGCAAGCGGCGCCUGGUCCUCAAGACAGCGGAGCAGCAGCAGCAGCUGGCGGGGCUCGUCCAGGCCAACGCCCAGGACAUCCAGCAGUUCUGCACACAGAGCGGCUCCCGGGCCACCUGGCUGCACCACGCCCUCCCCACGCUUGCCGAGAUCAUUCGCCUGCAAGACCCCAGUGCCAUCAAGAUCGAGGUGGCCACGUACGCCGCCUUGUACCCUGACUUCAGCAAGGGCCACCUGAGUGCCAUCCUGGCCAUCAAAGGGAACCUGUCCAGCAGUGACGCCAAGAGCAUCCGGAGCAUUCUAGACAUCAACACGGGGGCACACGAGCCCUCCAAGGCUCUAUUUUCGCUUAUAAAGGUUGGUUAGCUUUUUCUGCGGCCUGACCUCCUUAGGAGCGCCUGGCAAGCAUGGGAUACCACUCCGUUUGGGGGCCGUCAGACCAGCACCAGCGUCACAGCCCCAUGCGGUCCCUCUGGGAGUCCUGAGUUCUGCUGCUGCUUCUGCCCAGGCCUGGCCGAGGUGUGGGCCCCUGGGCCGCUGGAACUGGACAAGCCAUGAUGUGUUGACCCCCCUCCUGUGGGGCAGGAGCUGUUUGGGGAAGCUCUGUGAAUGAGAGUGGAGCUUGCAUGCCCUGAAGGAGGGGUCAGGAGGGUGUGUGGCUCGGGGACCCAGCUCUGGGAUCACCGCCUGUCCACGAGAUCCUGCCCCACCUGCCUGAGGACCGCCCUGCUCAGGCUGGGUCUCCGGCCUCCACAGCUCCUGAGCAGGCCCGAGCCUCACCCCUCCUGCCUGCUCUGGUCCAGGGCUGCGUCGAGCCAGCCU